AAUUUUUUUUUUUUUGAGGGGGGUUUGUUUGUGCGACGGUUAGAAACGGCGGCGGCGGCUAGGGGUGGGGGUGGCCACUGGAGCAGAGGGGUAGGGGCCGGGGUAGGGGUGGAGACCGGCUGGAGGGAGGAGUAGAGCAGGUAGGUGGGUACCUUUGGAGGAAAAGGUGCCUAGAUGUGUGGGUGGGUGCGGGUGGGUACCUACCUACCUACCUACCCCGCGUGGUCAAGACCGCUGCCGCUGCGGCCUAGGUGUGGGUGGACGUGUUACCUCCGGACGGCGUAGCCCUAGGUGGCGGACGAGAGCCAGACCACGCCGUGUGGCCUGGUGUGGCCUCUAACGAUGACGCCACCGGCAGCUGCUGUCGCGUAGAGACCGCCCUGGAUCUACGGGUUCCCGUACGUAGGCACCAACCACUGGAACGCACGGCGGUAACGGCCUCCGACCGACCAACCUGCCCGUAGGCCUUACGGCCACAAACGUCGGAAUGUAGAGUCCCUUCUGCGAACGAUUUUACACACGUACGGUUCUAAGGAUGUCAAGGUCUGACUAAUCACUCGAAUGUGAAGAUUCCCACCUAGCUAAUCGUAUGAGACGGAUGACUUACGGUCAGACUCUCCAUCGUAGACGAUAGCAGUCCAAUAUAUUCGAGCACACCUACCCUCCACCUACGGUCGUGCCUAGGUCACAGAGGCUGGAGCCGUAGGUGUUCCUCCUCGCCGCUGUUAAUGUAUGGGUUGGUACCCCGUCGUCGUUAAGUAACAACUCGGAGGGAGAUGGAGAGAGUGUAAGGGAAUAAAACGACGACGAGAUUUAAGUGAAAGUGAACUAACUUAGAUCACGAUGACGACAGUCAGGGAUCAGGGAUCACGAUGACGAGAUUUAAGUGAACGUACAAACUGAUUUAGUAUUUUCUUACUUAUCCACAACCGAGAUCUCACGAUCGAGCAUAUGAGAUCGUCCGCUUCGUGCAUGCACGUUCGAUUGAAGUUGUUUCGUCUGAUCAUCGAAUUAACUAAUAAACAAUCGAUCAUCAUGAGCCUGCACGUCAGAGUGCAUAUGCAUGCUCGAAUCGUCUCGAUCGAUUCGAUCGCUGACUAGCUAGACUGAAGAACGCCGGCUGGCAUCGCUGAAACAUUGAGUCGCUUGACUUUUUGCUACCUCUAAAACACCUAUCGGUGUCCCCGCACAGCGAGGACCUAAAGAAACAUAACGAAACUAGCUGAAUCUUUCUAAUGUUACCGACCCACGUGAAUACUACGUGAAUCACACGGUGGAGGUCUACUGACUGACUGACACAUAAACAUGAUCGCGCACGACUGCUUCGUCCUUGUGUGGGUUACGGAACCGUCCUUGUGUCUCAACGCCUCUCGUCGUCGAGCGUUAGCACCAGUCCCUGGCUGGCAGGCUCUCAUCUGGCACCUCUGCACCUCAAGUCAGGUCCUUCAAGGAACUGUAACGUCAGUGCAUCUAAAACGACCAACACCGUAACGAACUUUAACCCAAUAACCUAUCGACUUCGACGCAACCUAAAGAAGAUUAAAUGAGGUCCUCUGCUUCUGGUGCGAAGUACUUAAGUCCCGCGGCGGCUCCACCAGUACACCCUAGGAGAGCUUGUCGCGCACGAGCGACAGCUGAAGCUACCGUCCCAGUGGGCGAGGUAGCCGGGGGAGAGGCCGCCCUACAUGAUGAGCCCAAAGUAGGGGAUGCAGUUGAGUAUGUGUCUCUAGAUGUAUAACCGGUUCACAAGCAGCUAGACGUUCGGACAAAUUCUCGACCUAACCGGCCAGGUUAAGUUGUGCCUUGAUACACAGACAACUUUGAAAAGCAGAUAGUUCACAGCGGAGCGGCGGAGGCCGGUGGGGCUGCUGCGGGAGCGGAAGCGGUUGGAGGUGAGGAGGUACUCCACAAAACAAAGAACGUUAAACCUUCUCCUUCUACUACUUCGUACCAACAAUAGAUAGUUAUACGGAACACAAGACCAACAUGAAGUAUCGAUCAAUGUAACAUAAGACAUGACCAGACCAACAUACUUGUGAUACAUUUCUAACAUUAUCCGAUUAAAACCGAUAGUAAAGCUC
rnacentral:rRNA from 1 species